CAAACGACUCUCGGCAACGGAUAUCUCGGCUCACGCAUCGAUGAAGAACGUAGCAAAAUGCGAUACUUGGUGUGAAUUGCAGAAUCCCGUGAACCAUCGAGUUUUUGAACGCAAGUUGCGCCCGAAGCCUUUUGGCCAAGGGCACGUCUGUCUGGGCGUCACAC
rnacentral:rRNA from 1 species